rnacentral:lncRNA from 1 species
CUUUGGCGGUUCUGCCCGAUUUUUCGGUAGCCUACGGGUUACCCGUCAGUGUUGCGAGAACGAAAAUAGGGCAGAACCGCCAAAGAUGAGGCCGCCCACGAAGGGUCGGAGAACCCUCCACAACAAAUACUUAACGUUUACCAUCACUUAAAACUGAUAAUCUUCUCGGAAGAUGGGACUAAAGAGUCCCGACCCUGCAGACGCAGAGAAAAGGGGCGAGAAUCUCCCCCGGUUCGCUCUCCGAUGCAGCUCACUGUCCGCGCCAGACUGGUGGGCCACCGUGGGGACGAUAUCGACCGACGCCGUGCAAUGGCCGGGCUCCAGGCGCCUUGCCGUGGCCGAAUAUCACUCGGAUCAACUCCCCGAGGUUUUACGAUUCCCUAGGGAAGCGAGCUUCCCCCGGCCUCUGGAUGAACUCACUCAGCCCGAGCAAGGCCAACUCUCGGGUGGGCAC